UAGCCUGCCCAGUGAAAUUUUAACGGCCACGGUACCCUAACCGUGCGAAGGUAGCAUAAUCACUUGUUCUUUAAAUGGGGACUUGUAUCAACGGCAUCACGAGGGUUCUACUGUCUCCUUUAUCUAAUCAGUGAAACUAAUCUCCCCGUGAAGAAGCGAGGAUAACACUAUAAGACGAGAAGACCCCAUGGAGCUUUAAACCCAAAUAUAUCCCCAAUCCCUACAACCAUUUAAUCCUUUGGGUCCUAUAUACUUGGUUUUAGGUUGGGGCGACCACGGAGUAAAACUAAACCUCCAUGAUGUACGGAACAACCUCCUUAUCUAAGAGCCACAGCUCUAAGAAUUAGCACACUAUCAUAAAUGACCCAUUAUUGAUCAACGAACCAAGUUACCCUGGGGAUAACAGCGCAAUCCAUUUUAAGAGCCCCUAUCGACAAAUGGGUUUACGACCUCGAUGUUGGAUCAGGAUAUCCCAGUGGUGCAGCAACUACUAAAGGUUCGUUUGUUCAACGAUUAAAAUCCU
rnacentral:rRNA from 1 species